AAGGCUUUAAGUUAAGAAAACUAAUAUCCUUCAAAGCUAUUAAUAAAGAUUAAUAUCUUUAAGCCUUA
rnacentral:tRNA from 1 species